rnacentral:rRNA from 1 species
GACGAACGCUGGCGGCGUGCUUAACACAUGCAAGUCGAACGGAGUGGCGAACGGGUGAGUAACACGUGGGUGAACUGCCCUGCACUUCGGGAUAAGCCUGGGAAACUGGGUCUAAUAACGGAUAGUGUGGGAUGGACCCGCGGCCUAUCAGAUUGUUGGGGGGGUAACGGACUACCAAUGCGGCGAGGGGUAGCCGGCCUGAGAGGGUGGACGGCCACAUUGGGACUGAGACGCGACCCAGAGUCCUACGGGAGGCAGGAGUGGAGAAUAGUGCACGAUGGGCGGAAGCCUGAUGGAGGGACGCCGCGUGGGGGAUGUCGGCCUUCUGUUUGUAAACUCCUUUCACCAUCGACGCGGUAGCUGAAGAAGAAGCACCGGCUAACUACGUGCCAGCAGCCGCGGUAAUUC